rnacentral:rRNA from 1 species
AACGAACGCUGGCGGCAUGCCUAACACAUGCAAGUCGAACGAGACCUUCGGGUCUAUUGGCGCACGGGUUCGUAACGCGUGGGAACCUGCCCUUAGGUUCGGAAUAACUCCCCGAAAGGGGUGCUAAUACCGGAUAAUGUCUUCGGACCAAAGAUUUAUCGCCUUUGGAUGGGCCCGCGUUGGAUUAGCUAGUUGGUAGGGUAAAAGCCUACCAAGGCGACGAUCCAUAGCUGGUCUGAGAGGAUGAUCAGCCACACUGGGACUGAGACACGGCCCAGACUCCUACGGGAGGCAGCAGUGGGGAAUAUUGGACAAUGGGCGAAAGCCUGAUCCAGCAAUGACGCGUGAGUGAUGAAGGCCUUAGGGUUGUAAAGCUCUUUUAACCGGGAUGAUAAUGACAGUACCGGGAGAAUAAGCUCCGGCUAACUCCGUG